CAUUGCAAGUUUCACCAGUUAGAUGAGAUGACGCGAGGGUAAUAUUCACAUGCAUGUUCUCGUGGUUGUGACAUCUGCAUAAAAAUGGUAUAUAUGUGCAAAGUUAUUCAGUAAUCAAUCAAAUAUUCAAAUGAAAUAUAUGGAAACAAAACAACAUUAUGUGUAUGUGCAUGUGCUAAUCUACGAAUAUCAGUUGUUGAUAACAAGCCACACAACCUAUGUACUCCCUCCGUCCCAUCAAGAUUAUCUGAGACUUGUCAAAAUUUAGACGUAUCUAGUGUCUAGAUACAUCCAAAAUUUGACAGAUCCGAGACAAUCUUGGUGGGACGGAGGGAUUAUUACUUUUGGAACAACAUCAUAUGUAAGUAUGUAACGGUGGAUUGGGUUUGACUGAUCGCAGGUGUCACACACCAGAUAUCUUGGGAGUUUAUUGUCGAGGAAGACGAUGCCAAUGAUGGUUUGGAUUGGAGAUGGGCAGCGACGGGGUGAAUUAUGACCCCCUAAUCAGCAAGAUGGGGAGAUGAGAGAGGAAGAAGACAAUGCUGAAGAUGGCCGUAACUAUAGUACUGGAUGCUGAAGUGCCUUUACAGGGCAAUGGGCUACCUCUACCAGAGGCCCUGGUCAACCUGAACGAAGUACCAGCUUGGCGCCGGAGGAAUACCUGGAGAACGAUUUGGACGAGAUGUGAUGCUGCACUGGUAACCACAGAGAUGCCCCGCUGAUCGAUGAGACGUCGGCAGCAGGUGCGGGUUGUAUCAUUGUAUGCUACAGCGGCGGUGGAGAACCUUAUGAUCCUGACGGUAAGAUGCUGCUGGUAGAGGUCCUUGGUGUUCGUGAACUUGGUGAUCGAUAUGGAGUCGGCAACGGCGCAGAAGAACUAUGAUGGAAGAGGUGGCAGCUCGUUAUUGUGAUGAGUAGCGCGAUGAGUUCUGGGCAGGCCGAUGCAUAUCUUUAGGAAGUUAUCUUUACUUGAGAUAAGCCAAGCUGUGGCGGACCGUCUCAUAUACGGAGUAGUUAGGAAGUUUGAAUUAUUUAUUGAGAUAAACCAGUUUGUUACCAAGUUUGUUAGCCAAGUCGAUGGUUAUAGAGGGGAGGGCGCUCCGUGGGUUUGUUGCAAACAGUUUGGCCGAGUGAUUUCAGGAUCGUGAUGGCUCCA